UCCCAGCGGGCGGUGACGUUUUCUGGCUCUGAGCAGCUCCUGGUUUUCUUAGGUAGAGGGUACAGUUUUGUUUCCUCCUUUGGCUUCCUCGAGUCCUAAGUUUUGUUGCGAGAUUCUCUUCUUCCUGUGCUCCCAGUUUGGGUCUCGCCUGGCAGAAGGUUUCUAGGAAUUUGACAAAUCAUCCCUGAGCGUUGUACACAGCUGUUAAUCUAUUUCCAAUCUCGGGCCAGUCCCUGCAAAUCCAAUGAAUUGAGAAGCCGAGUAGGAAUUCCAUUUACCUGGUGUCAAUUUCCAAAAGUAGGGACCUUUGGAACUUAACUCCAAAGAAUCCCGUCUCUCGUGGUCCCCAGUGCCUGCCAUAUGAUGCUUGAGGUGAUGAUUUUUCCUUCACCAUGCCCUUCUGCCAUGAUGUUUUUGCCUUAGAACCAACUGACCAUGGACUGAAACCUCAAAACUCUGAGCCAAAAUGAAUCUUUCCUUCUGUAAGUUGAUUUUCUCAACUAAUUUUGUCACAGCAAUAGAAUACCUACUAACAAACUCAGUCAUCCUGGGGUGUGGUACAGAGCUAUUAGAAAUUGCAUUAGUGUUUUGUUCAAGUCCCUGGAGGCUAGUUGAGGAAGGACUCAGAAGAACCUGGCUGGAAUUUGAUCAAGGAGAGACUCUUUGUCACACUAUGUACUUGCAAAUUACUAUAUACAAAGGGCUAUAUUUUAAUUACCCUAAAGUUUGAAUUAUUGUAUUCGUUGGAGAAGAAUGGAGUUCCUGGAAUAUCUUAAUCAUACUCUUUAUUUAUUGUAUGUUUAUAGACACAUCAUAUGUCAUAAACGUGAAAAUCCAAUGCUAUUGGCCAAACUGUUUCAUGGUACCUUCCCAAUAAGCUUUUUUUUUGUUGUUUGACAUUCAGAUUGAAGCAUAUUAUGUAGGAGGUAAUGUUCAAUUCCUCAAAUAAAACAAUCUGUAUAACCUAA